AUCGCUUCUCGGCCUUUUGGCUAAGAUCAAGUGUAGUAUCUGUUCUUAUCAGUUUAAUAAUGUUUCUUUUACAAAUGUGGGUGCCCUUGUAUUUGGAGAAUCGACUUUCAGAAAUGAGACUUUCAUCUCGAUGGAUUUUUCCUUCAAUGAAUAUGAAAUGUCCUUCUCCAUUUAUUUUUUAUUAAUUUUA